AAUUCAACCAAAAAUAAAAUUUCAUUCCUAUUUUUUUUUUCUAUUUUGUAGAACAUUAGAUAUAAAGGUGUGACUUCUAUCGUAUAUUGAUGAUAUUUAUUGCAGGUUGAUGCUACCAGGCGGGGAGGAUUGGCAAGAUUUAUUAAUCAUUCUUGUGAGCCAAAUUGCUAUACAAAGGUGAUAACCGUUGAUGGCCAAAAGAAGAUCUUUAUUUAUGCAAAGCGGCAUAUAUCUACGGGUGAAGAGCUUACAUACAACUACAAAUUUCCAUUGGAAGAGAAAAAGAUACCCUGCAAUUGUGGUUCCAAAAGGUGCCGAGGAUCAAUGAACUAGAAAUUGCAUCUUCUUGUGGUCAAGGCCAUUGCAACAGUUGAGAACUCAUAAGGUGGUCAUAAUUAUUCGUUCAUGGUAUGAGCUAGGAGAACUCAUAUGCUGGUCAUAAUUAUUUCUUCAAGGUAAUCUAUUCCGUGUGUAAACUAUCAAUUAAAUCCCGAAGCAUUUUUUGGAUUGAAGGAAAUAGGAAGUUGAGGGAAAUGAAAUAAAGUCUCAAUAAUUUGUGGGUUGACUAUAAAUCUGCAGCCAUUGGUAUGAUAUUUUACCCUUUUUUAUACAAUUAUUUUUUUUACUCAAAUUCCCGCAUCCAAAUGCUUCAGAACUGACAGAUAAAAAACCAAUGUCUAUGGUUGUGAUGAAGAUGAUUGUGUUUCUGAAAAUAACACCUUUUGUAUUACAAUCAUGUGUUAAAGAUAAAUUACUCUCAUCUUCCAAAUAUAAAUUACUCUUACCUAUGAUGGUUCUGUUACUGAAACUAAUACCUUUCUGUGUGACAAUCAUAAAUUUCUAUGCUGCAAAUAAAUGAUCAUGUCGUGUUCUGCUUUUUUUUUAGACAUGAUAGACUUUAGUUUGGGCAUGUACAACUAAUGGUGAAAGAUGCACC